UUUAGAAUUAAUAUAUGAUGUACAACAGCAGCAGAGGAGGAGGAUGAAAUAGAUAAUUGUUUUACAAGUUCCAAAGGCGCAUUUAAAGUCAAAAGUAAUGUUUAUGCUUUGCCUGACUCUUUACCUUUACACACAGAGGAACAAUCAACUUCGUAUUCUGAGUCACUGUCUUUGCCUAACUUCUUUUUACCUUCAAAAUCAACUGAAAAGGAACAAUCAAAAUUUUUUUACAGAUUUUUUCAUAAUGGAUAGUAUGGAAGGAAAGGGGUGUGCAGUUAUAGCAUUAUUAGACGGGAAGAGAAAACCGUAUCAGAUAUAUAUCAGUAUCACUAGAUCUUAAUCCAUUGGAUUAUGCAAUCUGGUCUAAACUGGAGGCGAAGGUGUGCUGCAAACCUCACACUUCCGUUGAUGCCCUCAAGCCAUCACUUCUCAGAGAAUGGGAUGCUUUAUCCAUGGAUACCGUGCGUAAAUCAAUUGAGGAAUGGCGUCCAAGACUGGAGGCGUGCAUACGGGCAAAAGGGGGUUAUUUCGAGGACUCUCUUUAUUAAUGUGUACUUUAGCAUUUU
rnacentral:lncRNA from 1 species